rnacentral:rRNA from 1 species
UUUGAGUGGUAGGGGAGCGUUCUGUAAGCCGUUGAAGGUGAACCGGGAGGUUUGCUGGAGGUAUCAGAAGUGCGAAUGCUGACAUGAGUAACGAUAAUGCGGGUGAAAAACCCGCACGCCGGAAGACCAAGGGUUCCUAUCCCAUGUUAAUCAGGGUAGGGUAAGUCGACCCCUAAGGCGAGGCCGAAAGGCGUAGUCGAUGGGAAACGGGUUAAUAUUCCCGUACUUGGUAUAAUUGCGAUGGGGGGACGGAGCAGGCUAAACAAGCAUGGCGUUGGUUGUCCAUGUGAAAGUGAGUAGGUUGGUGACUUAGGAAAAUCCGGGUUGCUAAGACUGAGACACGAGACGAGCACCCAAGGGUGUGAAGUUGUUGAUGCCAUACUUCCAGGAAAAGCCUCUAAGCUUCAGAUUAUACCGAAUCGUACCCCAAACCGACACAGGUGGUCAGGUAGAGAAUACUAAGGCGCUUGAGAGAACUCGGGUGAAGGAACUAGGCAAAAUUGUACCGUAACUUCGGGAGAAGGUACGCUCCUAUCUGUGAUGAGACUUGCUCUCUAAGCGGACGGGAGCCGCAGUGACCAGGUGGCUGGGACUGUUUAUUAAAAACACAGCACUGUGCAAAAUCGCAAGAUGACGUAUACGGUGUGACACCUGCCCGGUGCCGGAAGGUUAAUUGAUGGGGUUAGUUUUCGGACGAAGCUCUUGAUCGAAGCCCCGGUAAACGGCGGCCGUAACUAUAACGGUCCUAAGGUAGCGAAAUUCCUUGUCGGGUAAGUUCCGACCUGCACGAAUGGUGUAACCAUGGCCACGCUGUCUCCACCCGAGACUCAGUGAAAUUGAAAUCGCAGUGAAGAUGCUGUGUACCCGCGGCUAGACGGAAAGACCCCGUGAACCUUUACUACAGCUUGGCACUGAACAUUGACCCUACAUGUGUAGGAUAGGUGGGAGGCUUUGAAGCAGAAACGCUAGUUUUUGUGGAGCCGUCCUUGAAAUACCACCCUUGUAGUGUUGAUGUUCUAACGUUGGUCCCUGAUCGGGAUUACGGACAGUGCCUGGUGGGUAGUUUGACUGGGGCGGUCUCCUCCCAAAGAGUAACGGAGGAGCACGAAGGUUGGCUAAGUACGGUCGGACAUCGUACGGUUAGUGUAAUGGUAGAAGCCAGCUUAACUGCGAGACAGACACGUCGAGCAGGUACGAAAGUAGGUCAUAGUGAUCCGGUGGUUCUGAAUGGAAGGGCCAUCGCUCAACGGAUAAAAGGUACUCCGGGGAUAACAGGCUGAUACCGCCCAAGAGUUCAUAUCGACGGCGGUGUUUGGCACCUCGAUGUCGGCUCAUCACAUCCUGGGGCUGAAGUCGGUCCCAAGGGUAUGGCUGUUCGCCAUUUAAAGUGGUACGCGAGCUGGGUUUAGAACGUCGUGAGACAGUUCGGUCCCUAUCUGCCGUGGGCGUUUGAGAAUUGAGAGGGGUUGCUCCUAGUACGAGAGGACCGGAGUGAACGAACCGCUGGUGUUCGGGUUGUCAUGCCAAUGGCACUGCCCGGUAGCUACGUUCGGAACUGAUAAGCGCUGAAAGCAUCUAAGCGCGAAGCAGGCCUCGAGAUGAGUUCUCACUAGACUUUUAAAGUCUCUGAAGGGCCGUUGAAGACUACAACGUUGAUAGGCAGGAUGUGGAAGUGGUGUGAGCCAUUAAGCUAACCUGUACUAAUUACCCGUGAGGCUUAACCAU